rnacentral:rRNA from 1 species
GAUUAACGCUGGCGGCGUGCAUAACACAUGCAAGUCGAACGAUGAAACUCAUUAGAUUUCUUCGGAAUGAAAACGACGGGCUUAGUGGUGAACGGGUGAGUAACGCCUGAUUAACCUGGCUUACACAAGGGGAUAGCCUCUGGAUACGGAGUAAAAUAUUCUAUGAAACGAGUCAAUCGUAUGAUAAUCUGGUCAAAAUGUUUAGUGGUGUAAGAUGGACUUUCGUCUGAUUAGCUAGUUGGUGGGAUAAAAGCUCAACAAGGCAACGAGCAGUAGCAGGGAUGAGAGAGGGUACGGCCCCCUUGGGGCUGAGACACGGCGCAGACUCCUACGAGAGGCAGCAGGGGGGAAGUUUCAACAAUGGGGGAAACCCUGAGGUAGCGGCGCCGCGAGAUUGAGAAGGCCUGCGGGUUGUAAAAAUCUUUUGUAUAGGAAGAAAAUGACAGUACUAUACGAAUAAGGUCCGGCUAACUACGUG